ensembl:lncRNA
CCUGUAUGCAUGCGUGCUGGUGUGCUCCGCUACUUUUUCCUCAGAGUUUGAGCCGCUUUUUUUCAUUUCCAUUUUUGGAGACACACAUGCUAAUGUCUGUGCAUUCAUGUGAGGAGGCUGACAGGAAACCGCGAGUGUGUGCCAGAGGCAUGCUUUUUAUAUUUGUGCGUUUAUCAGAGAGCUCUGUUUGUUUUUGUCUGACUCAGAGAGGGAGACAUACAGUGCAGACACAAGCAGAGAGGAGAGGGAAUGUAUUGGUGAGGAGAUGGAUGUUCACACACACACACACACACACACACACACACACACACACACACACACACACACACACACACACACACACACUUAAACAACUGGUGCAGUGAGCCAUUUCCCAAAUGGAGGCAUCAAACAGUACGCUUUGACUAAACAAACCAUCAGCUUGCAUUGAAUCUCAUCUGAUGUGGCUCCUUUUGUUUCUUUAUUAAAGAGUAAACAUGAAAUCAAAAUUGAUCCAAUUUACUGUCUGAAUACACAUUUCUGAGGUUUUGUGUAUAAAACCUUUCAUAGAUUUUAUACACACAAGAAUCCAUACAAACAGCAGAUUUUGAGUAUAAUUAAAUGGUUUUAGAUUUGUGAAAAUGUAUGUUUGUCAGAACUUGUGAAAAGAAAGUUCACUUUUCAGCCUGGUUUUUGAAAUAACUUCAAAUCCCAAUUUUUGAAAUAACCAUAUAUGGGACUUAUGAAGCUUUUUAUUAUUCAUAACCCUUUUCCAUAUAAUUUACAUAUGCAUAAUUUCAUCCAAAUACAACUGCAUUUAAAGUUUGAGUGAAAUAAAAAUUCACCAUUUCCAUCUUACAUUCAUAAAUCUCUCUCUCUAUCCAUCAUAUAUAUAUAUGAUUUGACAUAUGAUAUGACAUAUGUUUAUGAAAAUGAUGCAACUAGACCUUCCAGAGAAAAUGACAGAUUUCUUUCUGGUGAUGCAUUUGGUUCUUUUUGAGUCAUUUUGUCCAUUUAAACCCUGCUCCCUUAAGCUUGCGUUCAUCUGCCUCCACUUUUUGAAUUUGUUCACAUUUCGAAAUCCAAUCAAAAACCAAUGUAUAGAACCAAGUCCUGCUCUCCUUUUGUUUUUUCAAUAAUCUGUUAUACUCAGAUUUAUUCACAGUGCAGAAGACAUGUGUUUCUAUUCCAGACUUUAACUUAUUUUUCAAUGCCUGUUAUUCCAAAGAGUGUGAUGGUUUGUUUCAUCUCCGAAACCACUCUUUUAAUAUUAAUGCUAAUGCUAAUUUGAAUUCCUGGGAUGUCAUUUUCAUCCUCUUUGGCUCUAAUUUGGUGCAAAAUAGUUACUUUCAAUUUUGUUUCUCACUAAAUAUUCAAAUUCUAAAAUAUUGUGUAAUGUCAUUUUAUAUUGACUUUAAAGGCCAUAUUUGGGUUGCUUGUUAAAUGUCAGUUGAACACUGCAACACGUGAACACAGUUAUACUAGUGUGUUUGUGUGUGUGUUUACCAUUCCAUUGUCCAAAAAAACAGAGAAGUGUGAAAAAUAGAUUAAUGGUGACUAAAAAUAUGGCUUUGUGUUGGACUGUUCCUCAUUGCACCUUUUGAAAUGCGAUGUAAUAGAAAAAGAAAGAUAACAGCAGUCAACGUUUCUUCAUCCCUGUUAGAAUGUCCAUAUAUGGAGCUGGAUCCUCCGAUGUACAGCUUGAUACGUUUCUUUGUACUUUCAUGUUGGACACAGGCAGGACCAGGAGUUUUUUUUUCAGAAGCAGCCAGCAUGCAUCACCAUGAGGGCUGGAUUUGUGAUGUUUUCAACUCACAAAACACUUCUUAACAUGUUCUGCUCAGUAGUGCAUUGGUGAGGUUGGGUACAUAGAGUGUGCUGAACUCGAUGAACUUUAGUGGAAUUGUCCCAUGUAGAAUUUCAACCCCUGACCCGCACAGUGGGUUCACUGGGCACACUGGUCUUCCGUGCAGGAUUCUCUAAUUUAACAAUUCAAUUUAAGUAUUAUUAUUAUUAUUAUGUUAUACUAAAGAAUCAUCUAAGUCAAACAGAACAAAUAAGGUUAGGCUUUGGACACUCUGAGACACAACAAUGAAUACCAUACACGGACGGACACACACACACACACACACACACACACACACACACACACACAAAAAGACUAAUAAAAUGCAUGGGAAACUAUAUCUUUGUUUUUAGUAGCUAUGAUUUUGUUUUGUUCUACUGUAGAAUAGUGCUUGGCCAUUGAGAUGCUACUAAUUUAACAUUUAGACUGUAGAGUUGCCAAGCGUUUUGUAAAGGAACGUCAUUAAAUUUACAGUAGCUAGGAGCAAGAGAAAUGUUAUAUUUUUUUGCUUUGUAUAUUCCUGAAGUGCUGGGAAGGGAUGAGGGCAGCUGAAGCUAUAGCUAAGAGGGUAUUCACUGUAUUAAAAUGUCGUUUUUAAAGGGUGGAUGAGUUAGGGAGUUGGGGUCUAUAUGCACUGCAAGCUAUUUUAUUACAUCUUUCUGUCUUAAAGAAAUCUUUUUUGUAACUGAUUUAGUUUGCUGGUAAAGGUGAUGUUUACAUGACAUUGAACGGCUCAUAAAUGAUGCCACCUGGUGUCGGAAACUGUCAUGUAAUUACUUCUCCUGACCAUUAAGGGACAGCAAAGAUGUAGAAAAUCUUUUAAUUUGACUUGCUCUUUAAUUUAAUAACCCCUUGCCAAAAGAAAACGUACACAACUGUGUGUAAAAUGUUUUUGAACUGCCAAAUAUAAGGAGAUGCUAUUGCGUUUAUUCAGAUCUAGAAUAAAUGGUCUCUGCUGGUGUUUACCAAUGUGAUGAUCAAAACAAUCGAUACAUAUGAUGACACUUUAUUAUUAAACAACCAAUAUGGGGAUUUGCUAUUUAUCAUGAUUUAACAUGACUUAAUAUAUUUAAUAUAAUUUGACACAGCAAUUUGGAUUUGAAACUUUAUUUGAUUAUUAAGGUCCCUCUUCACAUGUUUUUUUUCCCGUUCCAUUUUCUAUACUGAUUUGUGGAGAAAAAUCUGUAGGACUCUGCAGUUGUAAAAUGGAUUAAAUAGAGCUGAGAGUGCUGUACUCUUAUCAGUUGCUGAAGUAAGUCGUAGGUGUUGCAAGAGAGAGGGAGCUUUAUUUAAAUCUGAAAAAGCACCUUUUGGUGAGUGUUCAUAGUUUAACUGUGAACUCACACCUUGUCAUAGGAGUCUUCAACAGGGAGUCAACCAUGCUUUUUUUUAUUUUUUUACUGUUGUUAAUGUGUUGACUACAAAAUAAAAAGCUAAAGAUGUUCAAAAAAGAUGUUUUUCUUUGUCCCUCCCACAUUAAAUUAUAUAAAAUUAAUAAUAUUUUUAAUACAAGUAUACAUGUGGUUAUUUCUUAUUUUAAUGGCUUUGCAAUGUAAGCAUCACAUGUAAAUACAUUAAUAUGGUAAUAUGUGCAUGUUAUCGUCCAGGCUUAAAAUGCUACUCUCAGUUUUAUGCAAUAUGUAAAAAGGGAUCUGUUUUCUGUCUCAGUAAACAGCAAGGGGUGCAUGGCCUGAAAAUAAGUUGAAGGCCCCUGUCUUAGCACCUUGAGCUCCUUCUCUUUUCCUCACUGUUUCAAUUGAGCACCGGGGAGUGAUGUGUCUUUUUUUAUUCUAUUAUAUUUCUUUAAUUCUGACUGAGUCUUAGAGCUGGUUCACACAGAGCUCUCUUUUUUGGCAUUAAACAGUGCUGCUGUUUAACUUUUUUUAUGUAAACAUGCGCUAGGCAGAUGUCUUUUAAUGUUGACCAAACGAUGGGUUUGCAUGUAGUGUCUUCCCAUAGAAAGCACAUCUCGAUGCUCUGUUCUUUUUCAUUUGUCAGCACUGCAUUUUUAUGUGCAAGAAUGUAUUCUGUGUGAACAGCUAAUGCUAGAAAUAUAUAAGCUGACUCCACCUCACAGUUAUAGGGAGACAGAAGAGGCGCAUACACAGGAAAAACAAAGACAGAUGCAAUCAAAAAGCCUCGGAUGAAGACAUACCUCUCCUUUUCUGAUAUCUUGUACAUUUUAUCCUUUUAAUAAGAUGUCUAUCAACCUGUUAAUCUUAGUUCACCUUUCCAACUUUCUCGCCUCCAGUAUAAAUACUCUUCUCUCUCUCUGCUGCGGCCUGCCGCUCCGUGUACUUCAUCUUUCUGUGCGCUUCUGCACUGCGGGAAACCUCAAAGACUUACAGAUGUCAAAACAUAUAUUGCUCUUUGUACAUACCUGCCCACCAGAGACCAAUGCAUGUGCACACACACAAGCCGGUGUGUGGAUCUACCUCCUGACAUCUUCAGCCAUACCUUCCUGGCCCCUGUGCCCUCAUACAGGUCACGUGAUGCAGGAGACUCCUUGAGGUGUUAUGGGAAAUAUAUGUAAAUGGGGGCAACUUUGAAUAUGGAAUGUGGUAGAUUCAUACCUCACCAGUGGCCAGGGAGCACAAUCAGCAUGGCUCUGGGAGAGAAUGUCUCUUGUGUGGCCGCAGGGAUCCUGCAGCUAUUUUUAUUUUUUCUGGUAUAUCUGAAUAUACAUAUAUAAAUACAAUUCUAUAUAUAUACUGUACAUUAUACAUAGAAACACUAAUGAAGUUUGAUUGUUAGUUGUGCACUCACAGCAUGAGAUGUUUUUUUCCCAG